AGGAAUAUUGGUCAAUGGGCGCGAGCCUGAACCAGCCAAGUAGCGUGAAGGAUGACUGCCCUACGGGUUGUAAACUUCUUUUAUAAAGGAAUAAAGUCGGGUAUGCAUACCCGUUUGCAUGUACUUUAUGAAUAAGGAUCGGCUAACUCCGUGCCAGCAGCCGCGGUAAUACGGAGGAUCCGAGCGUUAUCCGGAUUUAUUGGGUUUAAAGGGAGCGUAGAUGGAUGUUUAAGUCAGUUGUGAAAGUUUGCGGCUCAACCGUAAAAUUGCAGUUGAUACUGGAUAUCUUGAGUGCAGUUGAGGCAGGCGGAAUUCGUGGUGUAGCGGUGAAAUGCUUAGAUAUCACGAAGAACUCCGAUUGCGAAGGCAGCCUGCUAAGCUGCAACUGACAUUGAGGCUCGAAAGUGUGGGUAUCAAACAGGAUUAGAUACCCUGGUAGUCCACACGGUAAACGAUGAAUACUCGCUGUUUGCGAUAUACUGCAAGCGGCCAAGCGAAAGCGUUAAGUAUUCCACCUGGGGAGUACGCCGGCAACGGUGAAACUCAAAGGAAUUGACGGGGGCCCGCACAAGCGGAGGAACAUGUGGUUUAAUUCGAUGAUACGCGAGGAACCUUACCCGGGCUUAAAUUGCAGAUGAAUUACGGUGAAAGCCGUAAGCCGCAAGGCAUCUGUGAAGGUGCUGCAUGGUUGUCGUCAGCUCGUGCCGUGAGGUGUCGGCUUAAGUGCCAUAACGAGCGCAACCCUUGUUGUCAGUUACUAACAGGUUCCGCUGAGGACUCUGACAAGACUGCCAUCGUAAGAUGUGAGGAAGGUGGGGAUGACGUCAAAUCAGCACGGCCCUUACGUCCGGGGCUACACACGCGUUACAAUGGGGGGUACAGAGGGCCGCUACCACGCGAGUGGAUGCCAAUCCCCAAAACCUCUCUCAGUUCGGACUGGAGUCUGCAACCCGACUCCACGAAGCUGGAUUCGCUAGUAAUCGCGCAUCAGCCACGGCGCGGUGAAUACGUUCCCG
rnacentral:rRNA from 1 species